rnacentral:rRNA from 1 species
AGCGAACGCUGGCGGCGUGGCUUAGGCAUGCAAGUCGAACGUGAAAGCCCGCAAGGGCAAGUAAAGUGGCGAAAGGGUGGGUAAUAUAUCGAUAACCUGCCUCCAAGACGGGGAUAACAGCUCGAAAGGGCUGCUAAUACCCGAUGGUUCUAGAUUGAAGUAUUCGAUCUAGCUAAACGGUUGGUCCUUUGAGGGCCUUCUGCUCGGAGAGGGGUCGAUAUCCUAUCAG